UACGGAGGGUGCAAGCGUUGCUCGGAAUUAUUGGGCGUAAAGGGUAGGUAGGUGGUCUCGUUUGUCUGGGGUGAAAUCCUUGAGCUUAACUCAAGAAGUGCCUCAGAAACGGCGAGACUAGAGUUCUGGAGAGGGUCGUGGAAUUCCCGGUGUAGCGGUGAAAUGCGUAGAGAUCGGGAGGAACACCAGUGGCGAAGGCGGCGACCUGAACGGACACUGACGCUGAGACGCGAAAGCAUGGAGAGCAAACAGG
rnacentral:rRNA from 1 species